rnacentral:rRNA from 1 species
UCUGGCGGCGAUGGCGAGAAGGUCACACCCGUUCCCAUGCCGAACACGGAAGUUAAGUUUCUCAGCGCCGAUGGUAGUUGGGGGUUUCCCCCUGUGAGAGUAGGACGCUGCCAGGC